rnacentral:rRNA from 1 species
UAGGGAAUCUUCCGCAAUGGACGCAAGUCUGACGGAGCAACGCCGCGUGAGUGAAGAAGGAUUUCGGUUCGUAAAACUCUGUUGUUAGAGAAGAACAGCGCAUAGAGUAACUGUUAUGCGUGUAACGGUAUCUAACCAGAAAGCCACGGCUAACUACGUGCCAGCAGCCGCGGUAAUACGUAGGUGGCAAGCGUUGUCCGGAUUUAUUGGGCGUAAAGCGAGCGCAGGCGGUCAAUUAAGUCUGAUGUGAAAGCCCCCGGCUCAACCGGGGAGGGUCAUUGGAAACUGGUUGACUUGAGUGCAGAAGAGGAGAGUGGAAUUCCAUGUGUAGCGGUGAAAUGCGUAGAUAUAUGGAGGAACACCGGUGGCGAAAGCGGCUCUCUGGUCUGUAACUGACGCUGAGGCUCGAAAGCGUGGGGAGCGAACAGG